UACAGAGAGUGCAAACGUUGUUCGGAAUUACUGGGCUUGAAGCGCACGUAGGCGGCGUUGUAAGUGUCGGGUGAAAUCCCACGGCUCACCCGUGGAACUGCCCGGCAUACUGCGAUGCUAGAGUGUGGUAGGGGAGAGCGGAACUCCUGGUGGAGCGGUGAAAUGCGUAGAUAUCGGGAGGAACACCAGUGGCGAAGGCGAGUCUCUGGGAUGAUACUGACGCUGAUGCUCGAAAGCUAGGGGAGCAAACGGG
rnacentral:rRNA from 1 species